rnacentral:rRNA from 1 species
AACGUAGGAGACAAGCGUUAUCCGGAGUUACUGGGCGUAAAGGGCGUGCAGGCGGUUGACUAAGUUCGUCGUGAAAUCGCUCGGCUUAACCGGGCGGGGUCGAUGAAUACUGGUGAACUAGAGGACGGUAGAGGCGUGUGGAAUUCCGGGUGUAGUGGUGAAAUGCGUAGAUAUCCGGAGGAACACCAGUGGCGAAAGCGACACGCUGGGCCGUACCUGACGCUAAGACGCGACAGCAUGGGGAGCGAACGGG